UACAGAGGAGCCAAGCGUUGUCCGGAUUGACUGGGCGUAAAGCGCACGCAGGCGGUCGCGCGCGUGGGGUGUGAAAUCUGGCCGCUUAACGGCCAGGCGCCAUCCCAUACGGCGCAACUGGAGGGCUGCAGAGGUCGAUGGAAUUGCCGGUGUAGUGGUGAAAUGCGUAGAUAUCUGGAGGAACACCGGUGGCGAAGGCGGCAUCCUGGACCGGUAUUGACGCUGAGGCGCGAAAGCCAGGGGAGCAAACGGG
rnacentral:rRNA from 1 species